GAUGAACGCUGGCGGCGUGCCUAAUACAUGCAAGUCGAGCGAACGGACGAGAAGCUUGCUUCUCUGAUGUUAGCGGCGGACGGGUGAGUAACACGUGGAUAACCUACCUAUAAGACUGGGAUAACUUCGGGAAACCGGAGCUAAUACCGAAUAAUAUUUUGAACCGCAUGGUUCAAAAGUGAAAGACGGUCUUGCUGUCACUUAUAGAUGGAUCCGCGCUGCAUUAGCUAGUUGGUACGGUAACGGCUUACCAAGGCAACGAUGCAUAGCCGACCUGAGAGGGUGAUCGGCCACACGGGAACUGAGACACGGUCCAGACUCCUACGGGAGGCAGCAGUAGGGAAUCUUCCGCAAUGGGCGAAAGCCUGACGGAGCAACGCCGCGUGAGUGAUGAAGGUCUUCGGAUCGUAAAACUCUGUUAUUAGGGAAGAACAUAUGUGUAAGUAACUGUGCACAUCUUGACGGUACCUAAUCAGAAAGCCACGGCUAACUACGUG
rnacentral:rRNA from 1 species